rnacentral:lncRNA from 1 species
GGGGUUUAUUAAGCUGAUUUUGAAAAAUUGGUUUAAUUGCUUCAUAAAGACUCACAGAUUUGAACUUUUUACAAAUCAUUCCCUUUUUUAAAAUUAAUGUCAUUUAAAGCUCAUUUCCAAAAAUUGACUUAACUUUAUGAAAACCAUUGUCGAAAACAUUAUCGAGUACCAACCUUACGGAAUUACAAGCUUAUAUAGAUCAAAAUCCCUAAAAUACACCUAAAACUCCUAAGCCUAUUUUGGGGUAGGACAACUCUCCCUCACUAAAAGAGUUUCGUCCUCAAAAUUACCUGAGCUAAAAAAGUAAGGAUAUUGAUGUCUCAUUG